rnacentral:rRNA from 1 species
CCUACGGGAGGCAGCAGUGGGGAAUAUUGGUCAAUGGCCGGAAGGCUGAACCAGCCAUGCCGCGUGAAGGUCAGUGCCCUAUGGGCGUGAAACUUCUGUUGUGCGGGAGCAAUAAUGGUCACGUGUGGCCAGACGAGAGUACCGUACGAAUAAGCAUCGGCUAACUCCGUGCCAGCAACCGCGGUAAUACGGGGGAGGCAAGCGUUAUCCGGAUUUAUGGGGUUUAAAGGGUGCGUAGGCUGUGAGGUAAGUCAGCGGUGAAAUGCCCCCGCUCAACGGGGUGAAGUGCCAUUGAUACUGCCGUGCUGGAAUGCGGAUGCCGUGGGAGGAAUGGGUGGUGUAGCGGUGAAAUGCAUAGAUAUCACACAGAACACCGAUUGCGAAGGCAUCUCACGAAUCCGCGAUUGACGCUGAUGCACGAAAGCGUGGGUAUCAAACAGGAUUAGAUACCCUGUAGUC